UACGUAGGGUGCGAGCGUUAAUCGGAAUUACUGGGCGUAAAGCGUGCGCAGGCGGCGCGUUAAGACAGGUGUGAAAGCCCCGAGCUUAACUUGGGAAUUGCGCUUGUGACUGGCGUGCUGGAGUGUGGCAGAGGGAGGUGGAAUUCCACGUGUAGCAGUGAAAUGCGUAGAGACGUGGAGGAACACCAGUGGCGAAAGCGGCCCGCUGGCCCGCUCCUGACGCUCAGACGCGAAAGCUCGGGGAGCGAACGGG
rnacentral:rRNA from 1 species